rnacentral:rRNA from 1 species
GAUGAACGCUGGCGGCGUGCUUAACACAUGCAAGUCGAACGGAGUGCCUUUGAAAGAGGAUUCGUCCAAUUGAUAAGGUUACUUAGUGGCGGACGGGUGAGUAACGCGUGAGGAACCUGCCUUGGAGUGGGGAAUAACACAGUGAAAAUUGUGCUAAUACCGCAUAAUGCAGUUGGGCCGCAUGGCUCUGACUGCCAAAGAUUUAUCGCUCUGAGAUGGCCUCGCGUCUGAUUAGCUAGUUGGUAAGGUAACGGCUUACCAAGGCGACGAUGCAUAGCCGAGUUGAGAGACUGAUCGGCCACAUUGGGACUGAGACACGGCCCAA